CUCUAUAGUAUUUGCAUUUGUUAAUUGCCAGUAGCUUUUUGUCAAUGUUCGAUCUCAGAAGCUAAGCAGGGCUGGGCUUGGUUAGCACUUGGAUGGGAGACCGCUGGGAAAAACAUGUACCACAGUGA
rnacentral:rRNA from 1 species